rnacentral:rRNA from 1 species
AUACGGAGGGUGCGAGCGUUAAUCGGAAUUACUGGGCGUAAAGCGUACGGAGGCGGUUGGUUAAGUUAGAUGUGAAAGCGCCGGGCUUAACCUGGGAACUGCAUUUAAAACUGGCGAACUAGAGUUGAGUAGAGGGGAGUGGAAUUUCAGGUGUAGCGGUGAAAUGCGUAGAGAUCUGAAGGAACACCAGUGGCGAAGGCGACUCCCUGGACUCGAACUGACGCUGAGGUACGAAAGCGUGGGUAGCAAACGGGAUUAGAAACCCUAGUAGUCC